ACUGUGCCGAGAGAGGGACUCGAACCCUCACUGAGUUGCCUCAGGCAGAUUUUGAGUCUGCUGCGUCUACCAAUUUCGCCAUCUCGGCA
rnacentral:tRNA from 1 species